rnacentral:rRNA from 1 species
UAGAAAGUUACUUCGGUACAUCGGUGACAGGUGGUGCAUGGUUGUCGUCAGCUCGUGUCGUGAGAUGUUGGGUUAAAGUCCCGCAACGAGCGCAACCCCUAUUGUUAGUUGCCAUCAUUCAGUUGGGCACUCUAGCGAGACUGCCGGUAAUAAACCGGAGGAAGGUGGGGAUGACGUCAAAUCAUCAUGCCCCUUAUGACCUGGGCUACACACGUGCUACAAUGGUUGGUACAACGAGUUGCGAGUCGGUGACGGCGAGCUAAUCUCUUAAAGCCAAUCUCAGUUCGGAUUGUAGGCUGCAACUCGCCUACAUGAAGUCGGAAUCGCUAGUAAUCGCGGAUCAGCACGCCGCGGUGAAUACGUUCCCGGGCCUU